UGGAGAGAAAGUGAUGAUCCUCAAAGGAUGUUAUCUGCCUGCCCACUAACUGCCUCCAGGAGAAGACUGCCAGGAUGAGGAGUUGGCAGGCUUCCUGUGAUUUCAGCUUCUGCAUUAUUUUCUGACUUUAAGGCAGCCAACACUGAGGGGCAGAAAGGAAGUAUAGGAUGAGAGAAUGAAAAACUAAGACAUCUAUGUGCAUGCACUGUCAGCAUAAGGUUACGUGGGGUGUUCUUAUGGGCUGUUUUUCACCAAAGACAAUUAAGUGCUUUUUCAUGUUAGCUUUGUCAGGUACAAUUAAAUGUCAGUCUAUUUAUAACUGGAAACAUUAGAGCUGACAUUAACACAGGUUGAAAAAGCUAUCUCUGUACUCUAAAGUCUUCAUCAUCAUUGAGUAACAGUGUGAGGUGAAACAAACCUGCAUUAAAGCAAGAUUUUAUUUCUGACCCUAAUUUCUUAAGAUGCAAACACACCACUUUUCUGAUGUCAGGAAUGCUUUUUUAGUCGUGAUUGGCUCAAUAAAAGGCAGUCCGAAUGGAUGCAGGGUUCUUUUUCACAA